GUUAGCCUACGGGACGCAGCAGUGGGGAAUAUUGGGCAAUGGGCGCAAGCCUGACCCAGCAACGCCGCGUGAAGGAAGAAGGCUUUCGGGUUGUAAACUUCUUUUCUCAGGGACGAAGAAAGUGACGGUACCUGAGGAGUAAGCCACGGCUAACUACGUGCCAGCAGCCGCGGUAAUACGUAGGUGGCAAGCGUUAUCCGGAUUUACUGGGUGUAAAGGGCGUGUAGGCGGAACUGCAAGUCAGAUGUGAAAACCACGGG
rnacentral:rRNA from 1 species